GUGGCUCAGAGGUUAAAGCGUCUGCCUGCAGUGCAGGCGACCUGGGUUCGAUCCCUGC
rnacentral:tRNA from 1 species